rnacentral:piRNA from 1 species
CAAAGCAGUGGCCUCUUUC